UAGAUCUCAAAUCAGGUAGGACUACCCGCUGAACUUAA
rnacentral:rRNA from 8 species